rnacentral:tRNA from 1 species
UGCGGGGUAGAGCAGUUUGGUCAGCUCGUCAGGUCCAUAACCUGAAGGUCGUGGGUUCGAAUCCCACCCCCGCUACCA